UACGUAGGGGGCGAGCGUUGUCCGGAGUUACUGGGCGUAAAGCGCUUGUAGGCGGUCCACCAAGUUUGGGGUGACAGUUGCCGACUUAAUCGGCAAAGUGCCUCAAAGACUGGCGGACUUGAGGGCCACAGAGGGACAUGGAACUCCGGGUGGAGUGGUGAAAUGCGUAGAGAUCCGGAGGAACACCAAAGGCGAAGGCAGUGUCCUGGGGAGUACCUGACGCUCAGGUGCGAAAGCCAGGGGAGCGAACGGG
rnacentral:rRNA from 1 species